AUGAAGCUUUCUGCUUUCUUUUCUGAGAAACAAAAUGGAAUGCGGCAUCAGGGCAAUCAAAAUGAUGAAAACAAAGACCUUGAGUCUUGGCCAUUACUGAAUGUGGAGGUAGCAGAAGACUCACUAUCCUCAGAUGAACAUGGAGUUCCAUUAAUGAAAAUGGAGGUAGCAGAGGACUCACUAUCCUCGGAUGAACAUGGAGUUCCAUUAAUGAAAAUUGAGGUAGCAGAGGACUCACUAUCCUCAGAUGAACAUGGAGUUCCAUUAAUGAAUGUGGAGAUAGGAGCGGACUCACUAUCCUCAGAUGAACAUGGAGUUUCAACAUUUGAAGAACGAGAUGGUGAAGAUAUUGCAGUGGAUGAGGAUGAUAGUGCCUGUAAAAUAGCAUUUUCAGAAAGUAUGGAUAAUGACAUGGAUGCUGAACUUCAUGUGGCUCAGUCUCCUGAUGCUACUUCAAGGUGUUCAGAUGUAUGCGGUACAGUCUCUGUGCGCGGCCAUUUGUCAAUUUGUUCAUUGGAGAAAGAUACAGCUAAAUCUUCUAGCCGAUCACAUUCAACCCUGACAGAUCCUAAUUUUGUAGAGAAUUAUUUCAAGCAUUCUCGACUGCAUUUCAUUGGGACUUGGCGAAAUCGCUACCGCAAGCGCUUCUCAAAUUUACCUGGAGCUAAAAGCAGUAAGGGCAACAAUGAUCAUUCAGGGAAGAAGAAACCAAUCAUUCAUAUUGAUAUGGACUGCUUUUUUGUAUCCGUCGUCAUCAGAAAUAGGCCAAAGCUGCACGAUAAGCCGGUAGCAGUUUGUCACUCUGACAAUCCUAAAGGAACUACAGGAAUAUCAUCUGCAAACUACCCUGCACGAAACUAUGGGAUAAUGGCUGGCAUGUUCGUUAGAGAUGCCGAAGCUUGGUGCCCUCACCUAACGGUUGUUCCUUAUGACUUCGAUGCAUACGGAGAGGUCGCGGACCAGUUCUAUGGUAUUUUACAUGAAUAUUGCACUAAGGUUCAGGCUUUGAGCUGCGAUGAAGCUUUUUUGGAUAUGACGGAAUGCUCACACGAUAAUCCCGAGGAAGUUACAGAGAGAAUGAGAAAUGAGAUUUUUGGUACAACAAAGUGUACUGCCAGUGCAGGUAUUGCUGAAAACAGGUUCCUAGCCCGACUAGCCACCAGAUCUGCAAAGCCGAACGGGCAGUUAUUUAUUUUAUCUGAGAAGGUUAAUGAUUAUUUGAGUACCCUAAAGAUUAUAUCAUGCAUUGCCAUAUCUGUGAUUUGGAGCUUUGUACAUAUGCUUUCUUUACUGAUUUUAUUCAAUUAG
rnacentral:rRNA from 1 species